rnacentral:rRNA from 1 species
GACGAACGCUGGCGGCGUGCUUAACACAUACAAGUCGAACGCUGAAGCCCUGGCUUUUGUUGGGUUGGAUGAGUGGCGAACGGGUGAGUAACACGUGAGUAACCUGCCCUCUUCUUUGGGAUAACGCCCGGAAACGGGUGCUAAUACUGGAUAUUCACUGAUCUUCGCAUGGGGGUUGGUGGAAAGGUUUGUUCUGGUGGGGGAUGGGCUCGCGGCCUAUCAGCUUGUUGGUGGGGUGAUGGCCUACCAAGGCUUUGACGGGUAGCCGGCCUGAGAGGGUGACCGGUCACAUUGGGACUGAGAUACGGCCCAGACUCCUACGGGAGGCAGCAGUGGGGAAUAUUGCACAAUGGGCGAAAGCCUGAUGCAGCGACGCCGCGUGAGGGAUGGAGACCUUCGGGUUGUAAACCUCUUUCGCUCAUGGUCAAGCCGCAACUGUGGGUUGUGGUGAGGGUAGUGGGUAAAGAAGCGCCGGCUAACUACGUG